rnacentral:lncRNA from 1 species
AGGGCAGGGAGUGGGAAAGUGAAAAGCUACUAAAAUCCAGUCCUGGCCUCUCUUCCCUCCAGCCUAAAAGCCUCCCUGGGGUGCUUGGGCAAUACAACAGGCUCCGACUAGACCAUCCAUUGUCCCACAGCCCUUUUGAUCUUUUCCCCCCUCAGAGGCCAAGGCACCGUGAGCUACCUUGCAAUUAUUUCCCAAGUACUUUAACUGUGUUCCUUGGAUCCUCUCUAAAACACAAGAUCCCUAAAGGCAGCGACACACUUCACACCCCCAAGGAGCACAGGAGAUGUCGGGGUGAUUCCAGGCUGCUCUGUACUUUCUUGCUGAAUGAGUGGACGGGCUAGAGAAGAAACGGCAGAAGAGAAAGACAACCAGGUGCCCUGUCACUGCCUAUCACUGCCUGCCCUGCAGACUUCCAGCCCUUAGGAAGCUCACUCCUGAAACAAGUCCCUACAAGGUCAGUGAUUCACGCAGAUGCCCCUGAAAUCACUUCCUGGGCUCCACUGUCAUCAGACACAACAGGAGGUUGCUCACGGAGAAGUGUGAAAAGUGCCUGGAGACCUUGCUACUUGUUUCUCUGCAGAGGAGGACUCCAGACACUUAUUCUCCUAGCAUCCCACAGAUGCUGCUUGUCAGAGAUGAAGGCAGGACACAGGCAUUUGGUUGCAGCUCUUAAGGUUGUGCUCCCUUGCACCCGUGACUCUCUUUUCCCAAACCUGACACCUACUCACGGCCCAGGCCUCUAUCAUACAAAGCAAUUCUAAGAGGGG